rnacentral:lncRNA from 1 species
GGACUGGGAGGGACUGGGAUGUACUGGGAGGGGACGGGGAGAGGCUGGGACAGACUGGAAGGGACUGGGAUGGACUGGGGGGGGAUUAUGGGGGGACUGGAAGGGGAUUGGGAGGGGCUGGGGGGGAAUGAGGUGACUGGGAGGGGACUGGGGUAUACUGGUUUAUACUGGGGAGCUAGUGGGAGGCUACUGGGCAACAGUCGGGGUGGACUGGGAGGUGCUGGGCCAUACUGGGAGAUACUGGGAGACCAUUAAAGUGCACUGGCAGAUACUGGGAUUGCUCUGGGGAGCGUCUAGGGUUACUGGGAGGCUACUGGGUGAUACUGGGAGCUACUGGGGGGUCACUGGGAGCUACUGGUCCAUACUGGGCCAAACUGGGAAGCCAUUAAAAUGCAGUGGGAGAUACUGGGAUGUCUCUGGGGAGGGUUUAGGGGUACUGGGGGGCUACUGGGUGAUACUGGGAGCUACUGGGGGGCCACUGGGAGCUACUGGGGGGUCAUACUGGGCCAAACUGGGAGACCCUAAAAAUGCACUGGGAGAUACUGGGAUGGCUUUGGGGAGGGUUUAGGGGUACUGGGGGGCUACUGGGAGCUACUGGGAGCUACUGGGGGGCUACAGAGAGCUACUGGGGGGUCACUGGGAGCUACUGGUCCAUACUGGGCCAAACUGGGAGACCAUUAAAAUCCAGUGGGAGGCACUGGGGAGCGUCUAGGGUUACUGGGGGGCUACUGGGUGAUACUGGGAGGCUACUGGGAGCUACUGGGGUGUCACUGGGAGCUAUCGGGGGGUGGGGGGGGGGGGCCCUCCCCCCCCCCCCAUUUUUCCCAUUUUCCCCCUUUUUCCCCCCAGACGCUGUGGGUGCGGGGCCUGAACGCGGCGCUGGGGGCCCUGACCCUCUUCCACCUCUCCUACCUGGGCGCCCUCUUCGACGUGGAGGCCGACGACGCGGUGGAGGAGCAGGGGUACGGCAUGGCCUACACCAUCCGCAAAUGGUCGGAGCUGAACUGGGCCAGUCACUGGGUGACACUGGGGUGCUGGGUGCUCACCCGCCUCCUGCGCUGAGGGCAACUGGGAGCACUGGGAGCAACUGGGAGGAACUGGGAGACCUUGGAGGACCGAAAAAGGGGGGGGGCACCAUAGAGAGCGGCCGCUCUAUCCCGCUCCCGGGAGGCCCUACUAGGCCGCAGCCUCUAUGGUUGCACCCGGAAGUGGGUUCCCCCCUUCCUCGUCACGUGGUGCGGCGCGGCGGGCCAAUAAACGCCUUGGCUUUUGGGUCCCCCGCCCUCCGCUCGGCCAAUGGGAACGCGCGGUGAGGAGGAGGGAGGGGGCGGGGCUUGGCGGCGCGGAGUGACUUCCGGGAAAGCGGCGUUUGAACCGA